rnacentral:rRNA from 1 species
CCUACGGGGGGCAGCAGUGGGGAAUCUUGCGCAAUGGACGAAAGUCUGACGCAGCAACGCCGCGUGUGUGAUGAAGGCCUGUGGGUCGUAAAGCACUGNCAGGAGGGAAGAAGGUCUGACGUGUACCUCCAAAGGAAGCACCGGCUAACUCCGUGCCAGCAGCCGCGGUAAUACGGAGGGUGCAAGCGUUGUUCGGAAUCAUUGGGCGUAAAGCGCACGCAGGCUGCUAUUCAAGUCUGAUGUGAAAGCCCAGAGCUCAACUCUGGAACUGCAUUGGAAACUGAGUAGCUUGAAUCCGAGAGGGGUUAGUGGAAUUCCAGGUGUAGGGGUGAAAUCCGUAGAGAUCUGGAGGAACACCGGUGGCGAAGGCGACUGACUGGAUCGGUAUUGACGCUGAGGUGCGAAAGCGCGGGGAGCGAACAGGAUUAGAUACCCUGGUAGUCCGCGCCGUAAACGAUGCUCACUAGCCGCUGGGACCUUGGUUGUUUCAGUAGCGUAGCUAACGCGUUAAGUGAGCCGCCUGGGGAGUACGGUCGCAAGAUUAAAACUCAAAUGAAUUGACGGA